AAGAGUUGCAAAACUCCCUAAACCAUUGUGAACCUACCUUCAACCGUUGCUUCGGCGGGUUGGCACCGGGUCCCCCCCGGCUGCCCCCGGCCGCCCCCAAUCCUCGGGGGAGGCGGCCCGCCGGAGGUACCUAACUCUUGAAACACUGUAUGGCCUCUCUGAGUCUUCUGUACUGAAUAAGUCA
rnacentral:misc_RNA from 1 species